rnacentral:tRNA from 1 species
CUUCAAAUAAUUUUUAUAAGAAAUAAAGAGUUUUGAUCUCUUAAAUCUUAAUUGAAUUUAAGUCUUAUAA